GAAUUCGCCCUUAGAGUUUGAUCCUGGCUCAGGAUGAACGCUGGCGGCGUGCUUAACACAUGCAAGUCGAACGAAGCACUUUUAUUUGAUUUCUUCGGAAUGAAGAUUUUAGUGACUGAGUGGCGGACGGGUGAGUAACGCGUGGGUAACCUGCCUCAUACAGGGGGAUAACAGUUAGAAAUGACUGCUAAUACCGCAUAAGACCACAGCACCGCAUGGUGCAGGGGUAAAAACUCCGGUGGUAUGAGAUGGACCCGCGUCUGAUUAGGUAGUUGGUGGGGUAACGGCCUACCAAGCCGACGAUCAGUAGCCGACCUGAGAGGUUGAACGGCCACAUUGGGACUGAGACACGGCCCAGACUCCUACGGGAGGCAGCAGUGGGGGGUAUUGCACAAUGGGGGAAACCCUGAUGCAGCGACGCCGCGUGGAGGAAGAAGGUUUUCGGAUUGUAAACUCUUGUCGUUAGGGACGAUAAUGACGGUACCUAACAAGAAAGCACCGGCUAACUACGUGCCAGCAGCCGCGGUAAAACGUAGGGUGCAAGCGUUGUCCGGAAUUACUGGGUGUAAAGGGAGCGCAGGCGGGAAGACAAGUUGGAAGUGAAAACCAUGGGCUCAACCCAUGAAUUGCUUUCAAAACUGUUUUUCUUGAGUAGUGCAGAGGUAGAUGGAAUUCCCGGUGUAGCGGUGGAAUGCGUAGAUAUCGGGAGGAACACCAGUGGCGAAGGCGGUCUACUGGGCACCAACUGACGCUGAGGCUCGAAAGCAUGGGUAGCAAACAGGAUUAGAUACCCUGGUAGUCCAUGCCGUAAACGAUGAUUACUAGGUGUUGGGGGAUUGACCCCCUCAGUGCCGCAGUUAACACAAUAAGUAAUCCACCUGGGGAGUACGACCGCAAGGUUGAAACUCAAAGGAAUUGACGGGGGCCCGCACAAGCAGUGGAGUAUGUGGUUUAAUUCGAAGCAACGCGAAGAACCUUACCAGGUCUUGACAUCCGAUGCAUAGCACAGAGAUGUGUGAAAUCCUUCGGGACAUCGAGACAGGUGGUGCAUGGUUGUCGUCAGCUCGUGUCGUGAGAUGUUGGGUUAAGUCCCGCAACGAGCGCAACCCUUAUUGCCAGUUACUACGUUAAGAGGACUCUGGCGAGACUGCCGUUGACAAAACGGAGGAAGGUGGGGAUGACGUCAAAUCAUCAUGCCCUUUAUGACCUGGGCUACACACGUACUACAAUGGCGUUAAACAAAGAGAAGCAAGACCGCGAGGUGGAGCAAAACUCAAAAACAACGUCUCAGUUCAGAUUGCAGGCUGCAACUCGCCUGCAUGAAGUCGGAAUUGCUAGUAAUCGCGGAUCAGCAUGCCGCGGUGAAUACGUUCCCGGGCCUUGCACUCACCGCCCGUCA
rnacentral:rRNA from 1 species